rnacentral:rRNA from 1 species
UCGCCCUUUGGCGGCGUGGUUAAGACAUGCAAGUCGAGCGCUGAUUACAAGGUAGCAAUAUUUUGUAGUCGGAGCGGCGCAAGGGUGCGUAACACGUGGGUAAUCUGCCAUGAAGUUUGGGAUAACUUGCUGAAAGGCGAGCUAAUACCGGAUGUGACAACCGAGGGGCAUCUCUUGGUUUUCAAAGUUGGGGACCGUAAGGCCUGACGCUUCAUGAUGAGCCCGCGGCCUAUCAGCUAGUUGGUGAGGUAACGGCUCACCAAGGCUAUGACGGGUAGCUGGUCUGAGAGGACGACCAGCCACACUGGAACUGAGACACGGUCCAGACACCUACGGGUGGCAGCAGUCGAGAAUUUUUCACAAUGGGCGCAAGCCUGAUGGAGCGACGCCGCGUGGGGGAUGAAUGGCUUCGGCCCGUAAACCCCUGUCAUCUGCGAUCAAACCUUGUUAUUUAAAAGAUGACGAGCUGAUAGUAGCGAAAGAGGAAGGGACGGCUAACUCUGUGCCAGCAGCCGCGGUAAUACAGAGGUCCCAAGCGUUGUUCGGAUUCACUGGGCGUAAAGGGUGCGUAGGUGGUCGGGUAAGUCGGAUGUGAAAUCUCGGAGCUCAACUCCGAAAUGGCAUUGGAAACUACCUGGCUCGAGGGAUGGAGGGGGGACUGGAAUUCUCGGUGUAGCA